GAAGUCGGCUCCGCUGCUUGGAGCGGGGGGGGCGCGCGAGCUGGGCGCUUUCCCGGCCUUUGGCGCUGAGGUGACAGAGGUUUCAUUUAAGAACAGAAGGAUCUAACAUCCCCGAGUUUGAAGACAAGCUGCUUCCAAAAUACAAUAGAAGUAGAUCAAAAAGCAAAUGGGAACUCUGCUUUCUUUAUGAACUGAUGAGGAAAGACUUUAAGAGAAAAAGAGGAGGCAGCACAUCUUAGGAUUUGAAUCAGACAACUGCAACAGCAAGUUUGACCGAAGUGUGAGAAGAUUUGCUAAAUGGAGAACUUCUGUGUAGAGGCAUAACUUAGCUAUGAAAGCUGCUGCUGCAUGGCUAUUCUUGGCCUUAAAAUUGAGCAAUAGGUUUGCUGUUUGCUCUGGACCAAAGCUCCAGCUGAGUCAAGUGGAGAUUUGAAAGUUUUCAUGAGGGUUUGGCCAACUUACAGUGAAAAAGGCAUUGGAAUAUGCAUGAAAAAAAAGAGGAAAAAGAAUUUGAGCUGCUAAUUCUUCUAAGUGAGGAUCUGUGGCAAUGUGGAUUACUGCCACAUCUGAGUUUGCAACGAUGAAGAAAACUGUAUAAUGCUUGAAUUGCAAGCCGGUUGCUGUUAGAAGCACAUGAAAUAACUAUUUGGAAGACCAAUCAGGAAGCAUUCAAAUCUUCCUUGGUGAUGUGGACUACUUUAGUUGUGUUGCUUGCUGCCUUCUAGAUCUCAGACAUCAGGGGUUCACACAGAACAAGCCUUGCAUGCUGAAACCUGGUCAGUCUGAAACAGCGUGUUAGAACAAGAGUUUACAGUUGGACAUACUUUGCUUUGGGGAUCGGUGGAGAGUUUGGAGACUGAUACAGAUACCUUGCAACUGGAUACCCAUGAGAAUGAAAGAGCUGAACUGAAAGAGAUUAAGUAGCUCUUUGUACAUUCUUCCGUGUGAAGUGUAAAGAACUGAGGGCUUCAUUGUUUUGUAACCACUUAAAAAUUAAAGGGGAAAAACACUU
ensembl:lncRNA